rnacentral:rRNA from 1 species
GGGCUUGACAUCCCACGAACCUGCCCGAAAGGGCAGGGUGCCCGCAAGGGGGCGUGGAGACAGGUGGUGCAUGGCUGUCGUCAGCUCGUGUCGUGAGAUGUUGGGUUAAGUCCCGCAACGAGCGCAACCCUCACCCCUUGUUGCCACCGGGUUAUGCCGAGCACUCUAGGGGAACUGCCAGCGUCAAGCUGGAGGAAGGCGGGGAUGACGUCAAGUCAUCAUGCCCCUUACGCCCUGGGCGACACACGUGCUACAAUGGCUGGUACAAAGGGAUGCAAGACCGCGAGGUGGAGCUAAUCCCAAAAAACCGGUCUAAGUUCAGAUUGCAGUCUGCAACUCGACUGCAUGAAGGAGGAAUCGCUAGUAAUCGCGCAUCAGCACGGCGCGGUGAAUACGUUCCCGGGCCUUGUACACACCGCCCGUCACAUCACGAAAGCCAGCUGUACUCGAAGUCGCUGAG